rnacentral:rRNA from 1 species
UCGUGAGAUGUUGGGUUAAGUCCCGCAACGAGCGCAACCCUUGCCCUUAGUUGCCAGCAUUUCGGAUGGGAACUCUAAGGGGACCGCCGGUGACAAACCGGAGGAAGGUGGGGAUGACGUCAAGUCAUCAUGGCCCUUAUGACCAGGGCUACACACGUGCUACAAUGGGCGGUACAGAGGGUUGCCAAGCCGUGAGGUGGAGCCAAUCCCUGAAAGCCGUUCGUAGUCCGGAUCGGAGUCUGCAACUCGACUCCG